rfam:Serratia sp. ATCC 39006 ctg2, whole genome shotgun sequence.
UUUAUGUAAUUAAGCUACAGGAUAGUGUGAUCAAGUUUGGUUUUGUUUAAAUGGUAGUCACUUUUUAUGAAAUUAAACAACAAAAAAUCCUUUGUUCCAGUGAAAAAAUAGGGUAG